AUAAUAACGGUACUACCAAUUCCAUUUCCCCUCUCAUCACUCCAACCCUAAAUCAAAUUCAUGCUCUCAAAAUCAUGUCUCACUCUUGAAGCCUGGAUGAAAUUGAUACUCUUCAACGAAAUUGACAACCGCAACGAAAUCGACAGCCUCGACGAAACCCACAACCAUAUGGUUAUCGUGUUGGCAAGGAUUGUGUGAUUCUCGUGUGGUAGGUUGUGGAGGGAGAGAGGAAGGGGGAGUCACUGUUGUUGGAUAGGAUAAAGGUUUUUUCGGAGGCCACAACACUGUUAUCGUCGCUCGUGCAUGGGGAGAGGAAAAAGAAGGGGAAAUCGUUGACCUUGGACCAAUUUGUGGUGACGGAGACUGUGUUUGUGCUUCACCUCUCAUCUCAGGAGUUUGGAUCAGAAUGAGGCAAUCCAAUUAAGUGUUGUGUACAUAUUUCAUAUGUUGGUUCUAUCAAGUACUUUUGGCCUCAAAGAGCGACUAUGAAUGGAGAAGCUCUUCGUACCUUCAUUUAACAUGAGAUAUUAGUAUGUUUCUUAUAAUUUCUGUUUCUAAUUACUUAUCUUUCUAUUUUUGUAAGACCAGAUUUCCCUUAGGGUCCAUUUUUAUAUCAAUUAAUUUACACAAUAAAGACUUCAAACCUUCCAUUUAUUUAGCUAUAUUCCAAUAUUGUGAGAGUACUAUACAAAUGUCACAGUGUCAUGUUAUAGAAAAAGUAUAUUGCUUCUUUUAUUUAUUAUCCUUUUGCUUUGAGCAGUGCCAUCAUGUAACCAUAACCAUUGAUUAUCUAUAUAUAUUGUUUGUUGAA